AGGCUUAGAGAUAGGCUUUUCUUCGGACUCAUUACAAGGUGCCGCAUGCUUGUCGUCAGCUCGUGCCGUGAGGUGUCAGGUUAAGUCCUAUAACGAGCGCAACCCCUACCGUUAGUUGCCAGCGAGUAAAGUCGGGGACUCUAACGGAACUGCCGGUGCAAACCGCGAGGAAGGUGGGGAUGACGUCAAAUCAUCACGGCCCUUACGUCCUGGGCUACACACGUGCUACAAUGGCCGGUACAAUGAGCAGCCACGUCGCAAGGCGGAGCGAAUCUAUAAAACCGGUCACAGUUCGGAUCGGGGUCUGCAACCCGACCCCGUGAAGCUGGAAUCGCUAGUAAUCGGAUAUCAGCCAUGAUCCGGUGAAUACGUUCCCGGGCAUUGUACACACCGCCCGUCAAGCCAUGGAAGCCGGGAGUGCCUGAAGUCCGUCACCGCAAGGAGCGGCCUAGGGCAAGAUCGGUAACUAGGGCUAAGUCGUAACAAGGUAACCAAGGGCGAAUUCGCGG
rnacentral:rRNA from 1 species